rnacentral:rRNA from 1 species
CCUACGGGCGGCUGCAGUGGGGAAUAUUGCACAAUGGGCGCAAGCCUGAUGCAGCCAUGCCGCGUGUGUGAAGAAGGCCUUCGGGUUGUAAAGCACUUUCAGCGGGGAGGAAGGCGGUGAGGUUAAUAACCUCAUCGAUUGACGUUACCCGCAGAAGGAGCACCGGCUAACUCCGUGCCAGCAGCCGCGGUAAUACGGAGGGUGCAAGCGUUAAUCGGAAUUACUGGGCGUAAAGCGCACGCAGGCGGUCUGUCACAGUCGGAUGUGAAAUCCCCGGGCUCAACCUGGGAACUGCAUUCGAAACUGGCAGGCUAGAGUCUUGUAGAGGGGGGUAGAAUUCCAGGUGUAGCGGUGAAAUGCGUAGAGAUCUGGAGGAAUACCGGUGGCGGAGGCGGCCCCCUGGACAAAGACUGACGCUCAGGUGCGAAAGAGUGGGGAGCAAACAGGAUUAUACCCCUGUAGUC